UACGUAGGGACCGAGCGUUGUCCGGAAUCAUUGGGCGUAAAGAGCGUGUAGGCGGCCCGUUAAGUCUUGCGUGAAAUCUCGGGGCUCAACCCCGAGCGGUCGUGAGAAACUGGCAGGCUAGAGUGCGGGAGAGGAGAGUGGAAUUCCUGGUGUAGCGGUGAAAUGCGCAGAUAUCGAGGAAGAACACCCGUAGGCGAAGGCGCGUCUCUGGAACGCAACUGACGCUAGACG
rnacentral:rRNA from 1 species